AUGAACAUCUUUAUGGCUAAAUCGAAAGUUGUCUUUCAGCCCUCAAAACCAAACAUGUCCUACUUUUUUACCCGUUUCAAUGUUCUCUCUCAAAUUCACUUCUUUCUCUCAUAUAUCCAAGUUCCCAUCACUGUAUUCGGGAACAUUGGAUUCCAUUCAAAGUUUAUUCAUUUGUGGAUUAAGAUUUUGUGAAGGUUGUUCGUUUCGUCUAAUUUGUAUCAAGUUUAGCUCUCAGUUUUGGGCAUAUCCGGAUUUAUAUAUUCAGACAUCCACUCACUUUUUACCUGCUCGGAGUACGCUUCUUAAACAUAUGGGGUUCAAGAAUGGUAUCUUGAUGAUAUCCAAUGAAGGACUAAAAAGAGUUCCCUGCAUAGAGAUUAAGAAGAAAAUGAUGUUAAAAUUCCAAGUCCCCCUUCAGGCGCCUUAGAGUUGUGCUUUUGCCCUGGUUUUUCCCCAUUGCUUCAGUCCGACAACCUUAUUGUCGCUGCUAUAUCCCGUGCUUUUGGCUUUUCGUGUCCGUCUCCUAGGUGCUAACAUGUUAUAGUUUUUUCCCAAUUAGCAUUUGGAUUUGGGGUCAUUCUCUGUUUACAUUCUGCCAUGUCUCAACUGUUUGAUUAAGGACCUCAAUUUCUGCCGAUGUUGACUAUCCAUGUGGUCUAUUUGAAAGGAGUUACUGAUAUUGUACCAUAAUGUCACCUAUAAAUAUGGAAUAUAUUGAAGAAAUAUCUUGCUGGGUGGCAGCCCAACCUGCUGUCACAAAGGGAAAGUGAGGUCUCAAUUGUUGGCUGGUGAGUCCUUAUGAUCUCUUUGACUCUACUUUUUGUACCAUUAGCCUGUUCGAUUAAUGUUAUUCUUGAAUUACCUUGAUAAUUUUCUGUUCAUGAGCUAUCUUGGUAAGAAAAUUUUGUUAUUAGCCUAUCUGUUGAGGUACCCUGGUGAAAAUUCUUGGUAACUAAGCAAACUUUCAAAGAUUUUGGGCUUUGCUUGUUUAUGGGUGUUUGGUUAAAUUUUGACUUUUUGGGCGUCGAGCCAUCGAGUGGUUACCUUGGGAGGCCCAAGGUGAAAUUCUUGUUGAAUACAACCUUUCAAGGUGUUCUUGAAUUCUGCCUAUGUAAUUAGUCAUGAUUGGGGGCUCGAUUCGUCCUGUAUUUGAAGCUUCAUGUCUUAGUCAAGUACAACCUUAUAAGUUGAGAAUGAAUUACAUGUUGUCGUGGUCUCUGACUUAGGAGAUGAUACUCUCUGAUUUUCUUUGUUUUCCACUUUUUGGUUUCUGAAACUUCUGUGUAUUUGCUCUUCUUUAAAAUUAUUUUUUAUUUAAAGUGGUAAUUUUGAAACAAAAAACCAAAAAACUUUAAAACGAAAGCUUAAAAAAGAAGCAAUCGGAACAAAAUACAGAGGAAGAAACAGAAAGUGGAUGUUAUUUUGUGGACAAGUAAUUCUCCUUCAAAUUUGAAUAUAGUCAAUUUAAUUUGAUUUAAUAUAAGUAUACUUGUAGUACAACGAUAUUAAAUUAAAAACGAUGUAUAUUUUUUAGAUGAUCAUUCUUUUCUGUGUAACAGUUGAUUACUACAACUGAUCAUGGGAUUGAUGGGCCUCCAAAAGAGAAGUAGUGGCGUACUUUUUUGUUGGUUAUUUUAUUGGGUGCGGCCCUUCGUCGAGCCCUGCGUGAACGCGUGAUGCUUUGUGCACCAUGCUACUCCUUUCUCAAUAACUCUGAUAUGUGAUUUUAUGUCUGAGGCGCGAAUCUUGAGAUUAAUAUCAUAGAUUUUUCUAGGCUGAUAUGGUUGUCACUUUCUUUUUUUACUUUCAAGAUUAUGCGACCUUUGUCUUGUUUGUAAAAAUAUCUGCAGGUAAAAUAAGCUCCUGGUGCAACUUUGUCAUAAAAAUGGGAUUUUAAGAUUAUAAAAAAUUGAACAAGUUGGAAACUAAUUUACAUAGGAGGGGUGAUAAACCUUGCCUCCCUAAGAUUCAUAUGAAAAUAAAAAAGUACAGUGAGUUCCUAUGGAAAUUACCUUAGUACAGAUGCAGUCACAAAUAUCUGCGAUUAUGGUGCAUGGUUGUCAAGAUUUUCGGAAGUCUUUCUAUAGUUCAUUACUUCAAAGACUAUCCUGAAGCAUACUUGUUUAGUAAAUGGUGUUAAAAGGAAUGACAUAAAAUUGCAUGAUUUUUAUUGUGAAGUAGGUUAGGGGAAUUACUGAUGCAACUACUUAUUUAAUGUAAAAUUCCAAUUGCCAAUUGUUUUUUCUGAUGCAUCCUACUUGUGUUCUCUUUGAGUAUUUUCUGGUGGUGUUGUUUUCUUGUUACCUCUUCCUGCUGUAGUUACUCGAAAACAUCUCAGGUUCACUAUAGUUGUUGCAUCAAUUUCUCUUUAUGUACUGCUGAAAUCAUCUUCUUCUAUCCCCUUGUGCGUUAGGUGGCAGUGUGCUCUGCAAUUCUGUAACUUUUGGGAAUUCUACAUUUGAUACAUUUGAAUUAGUAAUCGGCUGGUAUUUGAUGGUUCGCUUAAUUGAAAUAUUCUUUCUUCUUCAGUGUUGCUUAAGUUUUCUCAUUGCAGGUUCUCUAAUAACAAAUGUUUGUCUAACAAACUAACCUUCAAAAGGGAUGCAUCUUUCUUUUGUCUGGUAUGGAAGAAUGUACCAGGGAAACAUGCUAUCGAAUGUACUUUAUUGCAAGUACAUCUAUCAUAAUCUUUUUGUACCAGGGAAACAUGCUGUCGAAUGUACUUUAUUGCAAGUGCAUCUAUCAUAAUCUUUUUGUUAUUUUGUACAAACUUUGUUCCUAGAUAGAUAAUGUACUUACGGGCAACAAAUCAAAGAAAUUUUAGAGGAACAAUUUGGUAUUGGAGAAUGAACAAAGGAAAAAAUUAACGAAGAAUUGAAAGGAAACACAGAGUUAAGAAGCAAACGAACUGCCACUCACCAAAAGAGAAGAGAAAUGAGAGGGGAACUAAAAGCAGAGAAUGUUGGGGAUGUUCCUUUCAAAUUGGAGAGAAGAAACGAUAUGAGUAAAUGAACACGGGGAAAGCUAAAAGAAGAGUAUUACCAUUUUGCCUAUACAG